rnacentral:rRNA from 2 species
AGUCUGAUGGAGCAACGCCGCGUGAGUGAAGAAGGCUUUCGGGUCGUAAAACUCUGUUGUUGGAGAAGAAUGGUCGGCAGAGUAACUGUUGUCGGCGUGACGGUAUCCAACCAGAAAGCCACGGCUAACUACGUGCCAGCAGCCGCGGUAAUACGUAGGUGGCAAGCGUUAUCCGGAUUUAUUGGGCGUAAAGCGAGCGCAGGCGGUUUUUUAAGUCUGAUGUGAAAGCCCUCGGCUUAACCGAGGAAGUGCAUCGGAAACUGGGAAACUUGAGUGCAGAAGAGGACAGUGGAACUCCAUGUGUAGCGGUGAAAUGCGUAGAUAUAUGGAAGAACACCAGUGGCGAAGGCGGCUGUCUGGUCUGUAACUGACGCUGAGGCUCGAAAGCAUGGGUAGCGAACAGGAUUAGAUACCCUGGUAGUCCAUGCCGUAAACGAUGAAUGCUAGGUGUUGGAGGGUUUCCGCCCUUCAGUGCCGCAGCUAACGCAUUAAGCAUUCCGCCUGGGGAGUACGACCGCAAGGUUGAAACUCAAAGGAAUUGACGGGGGCCCGCACAAGCGGUGGAGCAUGUGGUUUAAUUCGAAGCAACGCGAAGAACCUUACCAGGUCUUGACAUCUUUUGAUCACCUGAGAGAUCAGGUUUCCCCUUCGGGGGCAAACUGACAGGUGGUGCAUGGUUGUCGUCAGCUCGUGUCGUGAGAUGU